rnacentral:rRNA from 1 species
CGGAAGGUCCGGGCGUUAUCCGGAUUUAUUGGGUUUAAAGGGAGCGUAGGCCGGAGAUUAAGCGUGUUGUGAAAUGUAGACGCUCAACGUCUGCACUGCAGCGCGAACUGGUUUCCUUGAGUACGCACAAAGUGGGCGGAAUUCGUGGUGUAGCGGUGAAAUGCUUAGAUAUCACGAAGAACUCCGAUUGCGAAGGCAGCUCACUGGAGCGCAACUGACGCUGAAGCUCGAAAGUGCGGGUAUCGAACAGGAUUAGAUACCCUGGUAGUCCGCACGGUAAACGAUGGAUGCCCGCUGUUGGUCUGAAUAGGUCAGCGGCCAAGCGAAAGCAUUAAGCAUCCCACCUGGGGAGUACGCCGGCAACGGUGAAACUCAAAGGAAUUGACGGGGGCCCGCACAAGCGGAGGAACAUGUGGUUUAAUUCGAUGAUACGCGAGGAACCUUACCCGGGCUUGAAUUGCAGAGGAAGGAUUUGGAGACAAUGACGCCCUUCGGGGUCUCUGUGAAGGUGCUGCAUGGUUGUCGUCAGCUCGUGCCGUGAGGUGUCGGCUUAAGUGCCAUAACGAGCGCAACCCCUCUCCUUAGUUGCCAUCAGGUCAAGCUGGGCACUCUGGGGACACUGCCACCGUAAGGUGUGAGGAAGGUGGGGAUGACGUCAAAUCAGCACGGCCCUUACGUCCGGGGCUACACACGUGUUACAAUGGCAGGUACAGAGAGACGGUCCCUUGCAAAAUGGAUCAAAUCCUUAAAGCCUGUCUCAGUUCGGACUGGGGUCUGCAACCCGACCCCACGAAGCUGGAUUCGCUAGUAAUCGCGCAUCAGCCAUG